rnacentral:rRNA from 1 species
CCUACGGGAGGCAGCAGUGGGGAAUAUUGGACAAUGGGCGAAAGCCUGAUCCAGCAAUGCCGCGUGAGUGAUGAAGGCCUUAGGGUUGUAAAGCUCUUUUACCCGGGAUGAUAAUGACAGUACCGGGAGAAUAAGCUCCGGCUAACUCCGUGCCAGCAGCCGCGGUAAUACGGAGGGAGCUAGCGUUAUUCGGAAUUACUGGGCGUAAAGCGCACGUAGGCGGCUUUGUAAGUUAGAGGUGAAAGCCUGGAGCUCAACUCCAGAAUUGCCUUUAAGACUGCAUCGCUUGAAUCCAGGAGAGGUGAGUGGAAUUCCGAGUGUAGAGGUGAAAUUCGUAGAUAUUCGGAAGAACACCAGUGGCGAAGGCGGCUCACUGGACUGGUAUUGACGCUGAGGUGCGAAAGCGUGGGGAGUGCUCGCCAGCCGUACGGCGAGUUACCUCGUCAUGGGCGGGUUUGAUCAUCCAC